UACGAAGGGGGCUAGCGUUGCUCGGAAUCACUGGGCGUAAAGCGCACGUAGGCGGGUCGUUAAGUCGGGGGUGAAAUCCUGGAGCUCAACUCCAGAACUGCCUUCGAUACUGGCGACCUUGAGUCCGGGAGAGGUGAGUGAAACUCCGAGUGUAGAGGUGAAAUUCGUAGAUAUUCGGAAGAACACCAGUGGCGAAGGCGGCUCACUGGCCCGGUACUGACGCUGAGGUGCGAAAGCGUGGGGAGCAAACAGG
rnacentral:rRNA from 1 species